AUGCGUACGGCGACCGGAGAGCAACGCCAUGGUUCAGAAACAGCUCGCGCCCUGAGGCGGAGCAUGUCGGCGAUCCUGGGCGUCACGAGAGCUCUGGCGCGAGACCUGAAGCUUCCUCGCACGCGCCAUGGCCCCGCGAUCAAGAAGUUCUGCCUCCGAAGUGCCUCCCUUGUUUUCUGCACCGUGUCUGGCUCGGCGAAGCUGAACGAGCAGAAGAUGGACUUGCUCCUGAUCGACGAGGCUGCGCAGCUGAAGGAAUGCGAAUCCCUCAUCCCGCUGCAAGUCUCCGGGCUGAAGCACGCAGUUCUUAUCGGCGAUGAGUGCCAGUUGCCAGCAACCGUGAAAAGCAAGGUUUCAGAUAGUGCAUUGCUGGGUAGGAGCCUGUUUGAAAGACUAGGUUUACUUUUGGACACAAGAAGCACCUCUUAA
rnacentral:rRNA from 1 species